rnacentral:rRNA from 1 species
UACGGAGGGUGCAAGCGUUAUCCGGAUUUACUGGGUUUAAAGGGUGUGUAGGCGGGCUAUUAAGUCAGUGGUGAAAUCUCCGGGCUCAACCCGGAAACUGCCAUUGAUACUAUUAGUCUUGAAUAUUUGUUGAGGUAGGCGGAAUAAGUCAUGUAGCGGUGAAAUGCAUAGAUAUGACUUAGAACACCGAUUGCGAAGGCAGCUUGCUAAACAAUGAUUGACGCUGAGGCACGAAAGCGUGGGGAUCAAACAGG